GAGUUUGAUCAUGGCUCAGAUUGAACGCUGGCGGCAUGCCUUACACAUGCAAGUCGAACGGCAGCAUGAUCUAGCUUGCUAGAUUGAUGGCGAGUGGCGAACGGGUGAGUAAUACAUCGGAACGUGCCCUGUAGUGGGGGAUAACUAGUCGAAAGAUUAGCUAAUACCGCAUACGACCUGAGGGUGAAAGUGGGGGACCGCAAGGCCUCAUGCUAUAGGAGCGGCCGAUGUCUGAUUAGCUAGUUGGUGGGGUAAAGGCCCACCAAGGCGACGAUCAGUAGCUGGUCUGAGAGGACGAUCAGCCACACUGGGACUGAGACACGGCCCAGACUCCUACGGGAGGCAGCAGUGGGGAAUUUUGGACAAUGGGCGAAAGCCUGAUCCAGCAAUGCCGCGUGUGUGAAGAAGGCCU
rnacentral:rRNA from 1 species